UACGGUAGGGUGCAAGCGUUAAUCGGAAUUACUGGGCGUAAAGCGUGCGCAGGCGGUUAUGCAAGACAGAUGUGAAAUCCCCGGGCUCAACCUGGGAACUGCAUUUGUGACUGCAAGGCUGGAGUACGGUAGAGGGGGAUGGAAUUCCGCGUGUAGCAGUGAAAUGCGUAGAUAUGCGGAGGAACACCGAUGGCGAAGGCAAUCCCCUGGACCUGUACUGACGCUCAUGCACGAAAGCGUGGGGAGCAAACAGG
rnacentral:rRNA from 1 species